CAUUGGAUGGGUAAUUUGAAUAUGCCCUUUUUUUACUUUUUUAAGGUGUUUAAAAUAAUAAUAAUAAUAAUUACACCACAAAAGAGAAAGUCUUGUGGAACAGCAAUCCAUGCCACUUCGGUUUUGCAGGUGUGAAACCAUCCAGAUUGUUGUUUGUUUGCUCUGGUUACAUGACUGCCAACAACCCCUGUUGAUGUCAAAACCGUCCUGGCAGAAUCUCCGAGCAGGAAUUCCUUUGGAAACAACAGUAAGUCCUGCUCCCAAUGCAUCUGUGUUGUUGCGAGAUGUUUCUAGGAAGUAAGGAGAGCCAACUGUUAUUCCACUUAAGAACAUGUGUUUGGACGGCAGUUGGCCACAUUCCACAUAGGUAACGGUAGGGAACUAACUGUAUGGCUUGACAGCAGUGAAAAGGACCUAGGGGUCAUAACAGACCACAAGCUUAACAUCAGUCAGUUGUGUGCUGCUGCUGCAGCAGUAGCAACAGCAGCAGCAAGAAGAAGAAGGAGUUGGGGGUGUUGAGCCUGUAAAAGAGGCUCAUAUAAGCAUAUAUAAGGUAUCGGGGUCUAAAAUCAAAGGUUGGAAUGGUUAUGUGUUUUUUGCAGUCAUUGAGAAGUUAACAAUUUAUUUAACAAUAUUUAGCAUUUCCAGGUGUUCAAAGUUCUUUAUGCACCUUAUUGAACUAUAAUCUUCACAACCAUCCAGUGGGCUGAAUCGAGGGUUACUGAUACUCAAGAUCCAUGGAAAUGAAUGGACACGACAAACAGAAACUGACUGAUUUUUAAAAUGGUUGUCUUCAGCUAAGUUCUGAGCAGAAUAAACCCUGUUGAAAUUAAUAGACUCGGCUUAAUCAUCUCCUUUAACUUUUACUCUGAGUAAAACUGCAACCCAUUAAUUUACAAUCUGCGGACAAACGCAGGCUCCCUUGGCCUGUAAAGCGAGAUGAGCACCGCAACCCCAGAGUCAUCUGUGACUGGACUUAACUGUCAGGGGCCCUUUAGGUAAAGGUAAAGGGACCCCUGACCAUUAGGUCCAGUUGUGAACGACUCUGGGGUUGCGGCGCUCAUCUCGCUUUAUUGGCCGAGGGAGCCAGCAUUUGUCCAUGUGGGCAGCAUGACUAAGUCGCUUCUGGUGAACCAGAGCAGUGCACGGAAACACCGUUUACCUUCCCGCCAGAGUGGUACCUAUUUAUCUACUUGCACUUUGACGUGCUUUCGAACUGUUAGGUUGGCAGGAGCAGGGACCGAGCAACAGGAGCUCACCCCAUUGCAGGGAUUCAAACCGCCGACCUUCUGAUCAGCAAGUCCUAGGCUCUGUGGUUUAACCCACAGCGCCACCUGCGUCCACCCUUUUUUGCAGACUAACCAAGUUCUUUGCGUUUUCUCUGUUUGCUUGUUUUUCAGCCCCCACCCAAUGGCAAGAAAGAAUGAAAACACAUUCCUGGAUCUUUAUCAUAUUUAAGUACAAAAAUCUCGAGAGAUUAAGACUGCUCCCGUAGGAGGCUAUUUAAAGAAUGAGGUGUGGCAGUAGACUAGCCAAGCAGUGUGUGACACACCGUCUGGACCCAGGUGAAGGGGGUGCAUUCAGUCAUUCCUAAGCCUGUGGCCUUACUCAUUCCAGGCAAGGCACCUUAAAGCUUUUCCAUGAGAUGGAACACUCCUAAAGUGCCCUCACAACCUCCACCACUAUAUUUUCAAAUUCUGGAUGGUUUAAAAAUUCCUUAUUGUGGAAUUCCUGCCUGAGAGAGGUCAGACUGGCUCCCUCUCUAUUUUCUUUCUGCCGGCAGGCUAAGAUCUUCCUGUUCAGACAGGCCUUUGGAAAUUAAGUGCAGGCGAUGCUGGCCACAGGGCAAAAUGGAUUUUUAAUUGCUGGUUCUAAACAUUUUCUG